ensembl:miRNA
GGUUUCUCUGUGUAGCUUUGAAGCCUAUCCUGGUACUCGCUCUGAAGACCAGGCUGGCCUUGAACUCAUAGAGAUUCGCCUACCUCUGCCUCCCAAGUGCUGGGAUUAAAGGCAUGUGCCACCAAUGCCUG